CAGUUAGUUGGUGGGGUAAUGGCCUACCAAGACGAUGAUCAGUAGCUGGUCUGAGAGGAUGAUCAGCCACACUGGAACUGAAACACGGUCCAGACUCCUACGGGAGGCAGCAGUGGGGAAUCUUGCGCAAUGGACGAAAGUCUGACGCAGCCACGCCGCGUGAGUGAAGAAGGCCUUCGGGUUGUAAAGCUCUGUCACCUGGGACGAAAACACUGACGGUUAAUAGCCGUCGGAAUUGACGGUACCAGGGGAGGAAGCACCGGCUAACUUCGUGCCAGCAGCCGCGGUAAUACGAAGGGUGCAAGCGUUGCUCGGAAUUAUUGGGCGUAAAGGGUUGGUAGGUGGUCUUGUUUGUCUAAGGUGAAAUCCCAUGGCUUAACUGUGGAAGUGCCUUAGAAACGGCAAGACUAGAGUCCUAGAGGGGUUUGUGGAAUUCCCGGUGUAGCGGUGAAAUGCGUAGAGAUCGGGAGGAACACCAGCGGCGAAGGCGGCAAACUGGAUAGGCACUGACACUCAACAACGAAAGC
rnacentral:rRNA from 1 species